GACGAACGCUGGCGGCGUGCUUAACACAUGCAAGUCGAACGGAGUGGCGAACGGGUGAGUAACACGUGGGUGACCUGCCCUGCACUUCGGGAUAAGCCUGGGAGACUGGGUCUAAUACCGGCGAGUAUGGGAUGGGCGCGCGGCCUAUCGGCUUGUUGGUGGGGUAAUGGCCUACCAAGGCGGCGACGGGUAGCCGGCCUGGGAAGGGGGACGGCCACAUGGGGACUAAGACACGGACCAGACGGCUACGUGGGGCAGCGGUGGGGAAUAUUACACAAUGGGGGGAAGCCUGAUGCAGCGGCGCCGCGUGGGGGAUGACGGCCUUCGGGUUGUAAACUCCUUUCACCAUCUACGCGGUAGAUGGAGAAGAAGCACCGGCUAACUACGUGCCAGCCGCCGCGGUAAUAC
rnacentral:rRNA from 1 species